CCUCUCUCAGGAUCACACCUGGAGAGUUUCCAGUACUCUACCGGUCUUAGCUACGGGAAGGAAAGUCGAGCAGAGGCCUAUCCAUUCCAUUCCUAGCUUGGCCAGUGGCUAGCGAGUGGAAGGUCAUCUGCUACAAGU